UACGUAGGGGGCAAGCGUUGUCCGGAUUUACUGGGCGUAAAGCGCGUGUAGGCGGAGACGCCAGUCCGACCUGAAAGCCCCCGGCUCAACCGGGGAUCCGGGCCGGAAACUGUGUCUCUUGAGGGCGGCAGAGGAGUGUGGAAUUCCUGGUGUAGCGGUGAAAUGCGUAGAGAUCAGGAGGAACACCCAUGGCGAAGGCAGCACUCUGGGCCGGCCCUGACGCUGAGACGCGAAAGCGUGGGGAGCGAACGGG
rnacentral:rRNA from 1 species